UGCUCAACCACUGAGCCACCCAGGUGCCCCUGUCCUUUUUCAUUUUAUUGCUUUUCUGUUUCAUCCUCUAUGAGUAAGAAAGAAAAACUCCAAGGACUCUAGACUAAUCUGCAAAUUGCAUAUGGAGAGAUUUGGUAAUUGUGAAGCCCUGAGUAGGGAUGUGGGGUAUUGAUUCAGGAGAAGCAGCUGUAAAAGAGUUUAAAAUAAAUACCAGCAAUUCCUGCUUCUUUUUACCCCAGCCUCACUGUGGGUGAAUUCAUUCCAGAUAGACUGCAGAAGCUGUCUCUGGGGGCAAGAAGAAAGAUCUGCCCAUGGCUUAUUUGUGUUAUAUAGGACGCUACUUGUGGAAUGAGGCUAGGGGAACAACUUGUCCAACUCUCUCUCUUGCCCUGAACACUUAUUAAAAGAGCCAAAAGGAAAUGUAAGAAAAAGCAAGAGCACCAUUGGAAAAAGAACAGAGCAGCAUCAGUGGUGAAAGAACUGUCCCAUCAGUUACCUUGGGAAGAUGUGAACUAGAGUCAGAUGUGAAAGCAUAGAUCCCUGAGAAGUGACGGGAUGGCUCCCCUGAACAGAACACUGGAAGAUGCCCAGCUUUAGAGGGGCAGGAGCUAUAGCAAGCUUGGGUAGAAAUGAGGGGGUGGGAAGAACUUAGUUUCAAGAGCCCACCAGUUACUCUUGCAUGGAAUGGCUGGCUCCGUUACUAGUCUCCAGACUGUGCCCACUCAAAUAAAUAUGGCCCAGGGGAUGACAGCUCAGCCUCAGGAGCCAGACUGGCUGGGCUUAUAAUCUUGGCUAUGCAAUUUGGUAGCAAGUUUACAUAUGUGUAUAUUAUUGUCAAAGUUGACUGGAAGAUUUUCCAGGGGGGGUUCAUAACCUGGGCAACAGGGCAGAGCCACAGGUAACUUAGGACCACUACUGUAAACCCCAAAGGAGGCUUAGAAGGCAUUAGGGACCUACCUCGUAUAGUUCUCUGUCUCGUGGAAUAAAUGGUAAAUAUAGGUCCCAAAACGCAGAUGUCCCAGUCAUGCUUGCAAGCAGAUGCAGGAACAGUGGGUAGCGCUGGCAAUUCUGGGCAGCAAGCCAGGGUACAGAGUUGUGGGCACAAGCAGGACUCCCUCCUUUACUCAGUGCGGGCAGUUUACCAAGACAGGCAGGACCUUGUGUCCUGAGUAUUUCCAAAGCUGCCACCGUGUACCUAAGGAGUGACAGCUUCCUAAUCUGUUCCCAAUAAUCCUUCAUUUGUCUUAGUCUCACCUGCUCAUCUUGCAAACCGGUUUUUAAGGAUGGAACCCUGAAGGGAAGGCCGCCUGUCUAACAUCUAUUAGCUCACCGUUCAGAAGCGUGAGCAAAUAAUGAGGAACCUGCUAUGAAAAGCAUGUAAUGCACCAGUGCUACUCAACAUGUCGUGUGUGAUGAUCUCAUAGCAGCUGACCAAAAUAGAAUCAAGGCUCUCCAGGUCAUGGGAUCGAACCCCAUGUCAGGCUCCAUGAUGGAUGUGGACCAUGAUUGGGAUUCUCUCUCUCCCUCUGCCUACACCACACCCCCUCCUCACCAGGGGUACAUAUGAUCUCUGUCUGUCUGUCUCUCUCUCAAAAAAGAAAAAAAGAUAAAAAAAGGAAAGAAAUAAAAGAAGAAAUCAAGGUA